CAAAUUACAACAUCCAAAUAGAAAUCCACUUAAUGAUUCUUGGAAUUGAAGAAAACAAAUAACUAAUUUCUAAUGGAAUCCGAUGCAGAUAUCACUAAAACACAUGCAUGUAUGAAUGAAUAAUGAGUUCAUACCAUUACAAGGAAAUUGACUUCUGAAUAAAUCUCAACCAACUGUUUAUUCUCGAAUCUGCAUGUAAGAUAAAUAGAUUAUACAUACAUAGUCGGUCGAUGAUUACCAAUCCAAUGGUCUCCAGACUCCAGGAGUGAUGGUAGGCUGAUAGAUGCUAAAAUGCUUGCGUGUGAUUCCAAUGACCAUGAUUCUUCAUGUUAAUUCAACAUGUUGGUGGCUCUAUCACUUGUUCCACACAGGUUCAACAAUCAACGUCAUUCAAUCACUACAUUCUUGGGUGAUCCGUUAGCAAACAACCAAUUGGUUGGUUAGAUUAUGUGGUUAGAUUUUAAAACAUACUUUUCAUUCUUUGCUUGUAAAAAACCCACUUGGGAUUUAUAUCUCGCAGACAGAUUUUAUCCCUA
rnacentral:lncRNA from 1 species